ACGGGAGGCAGCAGUGGGGAAUAUUGCACAAUGGGGGAAACCCUGAUGCAGCAACGCCGCGUGAGUGAUGACGGUCUUCGGAUUGUAAAACUCUGUCUUCAGGGACGAUAAUGACGGUACCUGAGGAGGAAGCCACGGCUAACUACGUGCCAGCAGCCGCGGUAAUACGUAGGUGGCAAGCGUUGUCCGGAUUUACUGGGCGUAAAGGGAGCGUAGGCGGAUUUUUAAGUGGGAUGUGAAAUACCCGGGCUCAACCUGGGUGCUGCAUUCCAAACUGGAGAUCUAGAGUGCAGGAGGGGAAAGUGGAAUUCCUAGUGUAGCGGUGAAAUGCGUAGAGAUUAGGAAGAACACCAGUGGCGAAGGCGACUUUCUGGACUGUAACUGACGCUGAGGCUCGAAAGCGUGGGGAGCGAACAGGAUUAGAUACCCUGGUA
rnacentral:rRNA from 1 species